GACGGAGGGAGCUAGUGUUGUUCGGAAUGACUGGGCGUAAAGGGCGCGUAGGCGGUUUUUUAAGUGAGGCGUGAAAGCCCUGGGCUUAACCCAGGAGGUGCGCUUCAGACUGGAAGGCUUGAGGACGAGAGAGGAAAGUGGAAUUCCUAGUGUAGAGGUGAAAUUCGUAGAUAUUAGGAAGAACACCAGCGGCGAAGGCGACUUUCUGGCUCGUAACUGACGCUGAGGCGCGAAAGCGUGGGGAGCAAACAGG
rnacentral:rRNA from 1 species